AUGCUCUUGUUUUCAGUUCCACACAUCUUCCCCAGAGGGAACAUCAGUUUUGCUUAUGAAGAGAAUCGAACAGAACUACAAACUACUCAAAGCUUGCCUGAAGCUACAACUACUUUUCCUGCAGCAAGCACAAUAAAAGCUAAGAUUCCUCCCAAGGCCCCCAGGUGGGAAGGAUAUGAGGGGAGUGAUUACUGGUUUUCAGAAGACAUGGCCAGCUGGCUCAACAGCCGAACCACGUGCAAAACUUGGAAUUCAGAACUCGUGAUCAUCAAUGACAGAAAGGAACUGGAGUUUAUUUCUAACAAAACAAGGAUGGCUGAUUAUUUCAUUGGACUGACAUAUAUGGAGCCUGAAGAACAACAGCCAGCAAGAUGGCAGUGGAAUGAUGGUCGUGAACUCGAGAGGAGCUUGUAAGUCUUAUUUUCUCUUUCACCCUUCUUGUUGUAAGCAGACAAUUUCUACUUUGUAUCAAUUUCUAGCUUAUUCUGUCCCAAUUUAUGAAUAUGCAAAAUUGUUUUUAAAAUCUACACAUGAAUAAGUGUGUGCGUGUGUGUGUGUACCUAUUGAAUAUGUUUUCUCAAACAUAUAUGCAUUGAUAAAUUUAUCUCAAAGUGCACAAUUCUAAAAUAUUUUAUCAAGUUUGGAGAAGUAGAAAUUUCGAACAAUAAGCAUGUUGGUUGUUGUGGGUUUUUCGGGCUCUUUGGCCGUGUUCUGAAGGAUGUUCUUCCUGACAUUUCGCCAGUCUCUGUUGCCGGCAUCUUCAGAGGACAGCACUCUGUGCUCUGGUGUAGUUGGCUUUGGGAGUGCAGUAUUUAUGGCUGUGAGAUAGGCUUUUGUCUUUUUCUGUAGAUGGGUGAUUAGUGUGUAUUGUUGUGGGUGUAUUAUUGUGCUAAGGACAGGGGGUCACUACACACAAAAGACCAACUAAUGACACCCAUCAACCACAGGAACAGAUAAUCUCUUCUCCUUAGCACAACAAUACACCCACAACAAUACACACUAAUCACCCAUCUACAGAAAAAGACAAAAGCCUAUCUCACAGCCAUAAAUACUGCACUCCCAAAGCCAACUACACCAGAGCACAGAGUGCUGUCCUCUGAAGAUGCCGGCCACAGAGACUGGCGAAACGUUAGGAAGAACAACCUUCAGAACACGGUCAAAGAGCCCGAAAAACCCACAACAACCAUUAGAUCCCGGCCGUGAAAGCCUUCGUGAACAAGCAUGUUCUCAGCUUUGGUCUGGAAGGUGCAGUUGAUAUCAAUUUGUAUACACUGUACAUGAAUGGCAUAUUAUUCAGGAAUUCACAGUGAUCAGAUUUUUUCAUGUAUCCCUGUUCUUAGUGCUGAUGGGUGCACCAUAUCCAACACAUGGCAAUCUCUCCUACUGGGUAUGAAAGAUUUGAAAUGUGACGCUUUAUUCUGCCUUUAAAGGGCUGGAUUCCAAGAAGGACAGAUGUAUCUCUUGUACAUUUAGCAGUUGCACUGAAGGAAGGGAUUUCAAGAACAUGAAGUUACUAAACACCCGUGCGACCAAUUAGACCAGCGUUCCCUCUUCUGUAUUAAUGGGAAAUGUCUCUUCCUGAAGAUGUUCCACAGAGGUUACAACAUUUACACCAUAUGUGGAUUGCAGACCCAUCCACCCAUUAUUAGUAGGGUAAUUGAAGGUUUCUUUUGUAUUAAAAGUAAUAGCUAAAGAGGUCUAGUUUUUAGAAGAGGAUCACUGUACAAAAAUGAACUGCCACAAGCAUGCACUGAAUUUAGGCCCAGUCAAACUGUGAUUCAAAUCUAUUGAGCCAUGAGAUAUUUGCUCUCCACUGGAGUUAAAGAGUCAGAAGUUUUAAAAUGCUCACCAACUUCUGAGCUACUUUUCCCUUUCAAGGCAAAUCAACAUUACAGAUGCUACUAGGAAUUGUAUUUGUCCGUAUCCCAAACCAGGUCUUUUCUGACUGCUUAUGUUGAUUAAAAUAAAUUGGGUUGUGGUUUUUUUUCUGGCGUAUAC
rnacentral:lncRNA from 1 species